CAGGGUUGCGCUUGCUUCGGCACCAUUGGAACGAUACAGAGAAGAUUAGCAUGGCCCCUGUGCAAGGAUGACAUGCAAAUUCAUGAAGCGUUCCAUUUUUUU